rnacentral:rRNA from 1 species
GACGAACGCUGGCGGCGUGCUUAACACAUGCAAGUCGAGCGGAAAGGCCCUUCGGGGUACUCGAGCGGCGAACGGGUGAGUAACACGUGAGUAACCUGCCCCAGACUUUGGGAUAACCCUCGGAAACGGGGGCUAAUACCGGAUACGACACAGCUUCGCAUGGGGUCUGUGUGGAAAGUUUUUCGGUUUGGGAUGGGCUCGCGGCCUAUCAGCUUGUUGGUGGGGUGAUGGCCUACCAAGGCGACGACGGGUAGCCGGCCUGAGAGGGCGACCGGCCACACUGGGACUGAGACACGGACCAGACUCCUACGGGAGGCAGCAGUGGGGAAUAUUGCACAAUGGGCGGAAGCCUGAUGCAGCGACGCCGCGUGAGGGAUGACGGCCUUCGGGUUGUAAACCUCUUUCAGCAGCGACGAAGCGUAAGUGACGGUACCUGCAGAAGAAGCGCCGGCCAACUACGUG